AGGGUUCGAUUAUGGCUCAGGAUGAACGCUGGCGGCGUGCUUAACACAUGCAAGUCGAACGAACCUUCGGGUUAGUGGCGGACGGGUGAGUAACGCGUGAGAAUCUGCCCUCAGGAGGGGGAUAACGGUUGGAAACGGCCGCUAAUACCCCAUAUGCCUACUGGUGAAAUGAAUUUCGCCUGAGGAUGAGCUCGCGUCUGAUUAGCUAGUUGGUGAGGUAAUGGCUCACCAAGGCUUCGAUCAGUAGCUGGUCUGAGAGGAUGAUCAGCCACACUGGGACUGAGACACGGCCCAGACUCCUACGGGAGGCAGCAGUGGGGAAUUUUCCGCAAUGGGCGAAAGCCUGACGGAGCAACGCCGCGUGAGGGACGAAGGCCUCUGGGCUGUAAACCUCUUUUCUCAAGGAAGAAGAUAUGACGGUACUUGAGGAAUAAGCCACGGCUAAUUCCGUGCCAGCCGCCGCGGUAAUAC
rnacentral:rRNA from 1 species